rnacentral:rRNA from 1 species
UACGUAGGGUGCAAGCGUUGUCCGGAAUUAUUGGGCGUAAAGAGCUCGUAGGCGGUCUGUCGCGUCUGGUGUGAAAACUCAGGGCUUAACCCUGAGCUUGCAUCGGGUACGGGCAGACUAGAGUGCGGUAGGGGAGACUGGAAUUCCUGGUGUAGCGGUGAAAUGCGCAGAUAAUCAGGAGGAACACCGGUGGCGAAGGCGGGUCUCUGGGCCGUAACUGACGCUGAGGAGCGAAAGCAUGGGGGAGCGAACAGG